UGCAGUCGACGGUGAUGCUCCUGCUUGCAGGGGUGGAUCAGUGGCGAACGGGUGAGUAACACGUGAGCAACCUGCCCCCUACUUCGGGAUAAGCCUUGGAAACGGGGUCUAAUACCGGAUAUGAACAUCUGCCGCAUGGUGGGUGUUGGAAAGUUUUUCGGUGGGGGAUGGGCUCGCGGCCUAUCAGCUUGUUGGUGGGGUAAUGGCCUACCAAGGCGUCGACGGGUAGCCGGCCUGAGAGGGCGACCGGCCACACUGGGACUGAGACACGGCCCAGACUCCUACGGGAGGCAGCAGUGGGGAAUAUUGCACAAUGGGCGAAAGCCUGAUGCAGCGACGCCACGUGAGGGAUGACGGCCUUCGGGUUGUAAACCUCUUUCAGCAGGGAAGAAGCGAAAGUGACGGUACCUGCAGAAGAAGCGCCGGCUAACUACGUGCCAGCAGCCGCGGUAAUACGUAGGGCGCAAGCGUUGUCCGGAAUUAUUGGGCGUAAAGAGCUCGUAGGCGGUCUGUCGCGUCUGGUGUGAAAUCCCAUGGCUCAACUGUGGGCUUGCAUCGGGUACGGGCAGACUAGAGUGCUGUAGGGGAGACUGGAAUUCCUGGUGUAGCGGUGGAAUGCGCAGAUAUCAGGAGGAACACC
rnacentral:rRNA from 1 species